AUUCAGCUGAUGAGUCCCAAAUAGGAUGAAAUACGUUUCCUUGAU
rnacentral:hammerhead_ribozyme from 1 species